ensembl:lncRNA
AUAGUUGUGUAUUCUUCGUUGUGGGUUCCUCUAGUUGUGGCAUGUGGGACGCUGCCUCAGCGUGGUCUGACGAGCAGUGCCAUGUCCGCGCCCAGGAUUCGAACCGACGAAACACUGGGCCACCUGCAGCAGAACGCGUGAACUUAACCACCCGGCCACGGGGCCAGCCCCUUGAUGAGUGUAUUUUUCAGUUGUAAAAUUUCCAUUUGAUUUUUCUUUAUAUCCUCUAUUUCCUUGCUGAGACUUUCAAUUAUUCCAUUUGUUUCUAUUUUAUUCAUAUGUGUGCUAAUUUAUUUUAAUAAUAGCUUAUUUAAAUCAUUGUCAGAUAGAUAAUUCUAACAUUUUUGUCAUGUCUGUAUUGGCAUCUGUUGUUUGUCUUUCUUCACUAAGUGUGAUAUUUUCCUGAAUCUUAAUAUGAAGAAUUAUUUUCUAUUUAAAGUUGAACAUUUUGGGUAUUAUAUUAUGAGACUCUGGAUAUUAUUUAAACUUUUUGUCUUAGCUGGCUUUCUGUUACAUCACUCCAGCAGAGGAGAAGAGGUGAGCAACACCUCAUUCCUUCCAGGUGUGGGAAAAUGUUCAGACUCCUCAUUCCAGGUGGGGAUCUUUUUCCUGCUGGAGAGGGUAGAAGUGCUGACUUCCCACCAGAGCUCCACCUUCCUUGGAUGGAAGAGAGCCAUGGAGGAUGGUUUAACUGUCUUGACAAUCCCCUGUGCUUCACCUAUAUUUCAUAAUUGAUUAUCUUCAUGACAAACCAUUAGCUGGUAAUUACAGCAGAGUGUUUUGCCUAGAAUUGAAUCCAGUCACCUAAUAAAAUAUUGCAUGCAAUCAAAUGAAAAAUCAUACAGAACAGAGGAUAAUUGCAGUGGUAAAUAUACGUACCUUUGGAGGAUGAAAUUGUUUUGGGAGGUGACAAGAAGAUAGCACCUGCUCAGCAGGAUUUCACAAUAGGUGACCUCAAUAACAAGUGAAAAUGGUCUGCAUUCUGGAACACUCACAUACGGAAGAAGAAUCCAGAUGAACAGAAAGGACGAUGGCCCAGCAGCAGCUCAGUCUAUGCUUGUUGAUCAAUCACCUCCAUACACUCUAGUUCUGUAUCCACAUCAAGGAGGGCUCCCUGAGUGAUUCCUGAGCAACGCCACCAAUGACUGACAGUUACUCUGUGUCCCCCACACUCCCCAUGAGGGCCUGUUGGAGGAGCUUUCUCAUGAGAGGAUGGAGGAAGAGACCCCAUCUAACACCAAGGGAUCCCACAGUUUGAUCUUACACUGAGCCUGCAGAAUUUAUAUUCAGCUGUGCAGAUGUUUAAAAACUCCCCAGCCCUCCCACGUGACAGCACUAACAAGGGUACCAGGAAGAAACGCCAAGAGAGGAGCCUUGUGCCAACCUCACAAAGGCUUCAGGUUGACCUCAGCAGCUGUGAAGGGCCAAGCUCUGCUGUGAGCUGACUUUCUGAGGGUUCCUGGGAGGCUACUCCUGCCGAGCACUACAUGGGCCCGUGAACAGAGGGCGCGCCAUGGCAGGGCCCAUCCAGCAGUGGAAGGACCCCCUGCCUGCACCAACUUCCCUCACUGAAACCGUGGAACUCAAGAUGGAGGGCAGGGGAGGGGGGCAAAUGCAGAAUGUGGCAUUUAAACCUGAAAUGCGUGUGGAAUCCAGCAUUUGUAGAUUAAUUUGACUAGGUUAUCUUUUCUUUUUCAAGCAUGGAUAAAAACUUGAAAUAAAAAUGAAACAGCGCUCAUUGAAAAUGAAGAAAGUAAUAAAUUUGCAUACUUAGUUUUGUGGCAUUCACAAUCCACACCUAAUGCACCAGUGUUUCUAGUUGUGCUCCUUGCCACCGUGGGGUCCUGUGGGAGGCAGGAUAUGCCAGGCGAGUGGGGUGCUGGAAGACAUUUUUAAAAAUAAUAUUUUAAUUAACAAAAGUUGUGUAAUUUGUAAGAGUGUAAAAUGAACAUUUAACUCUCCUCUACCCUACAGAAAC